UGUUCCACUAUAGAAGGGAAGUGUUAACACCCACCCCAAUGAGUUUCAACGAGGGGCGAGGGAAGAGGCCCAUAGGUAGCCUUGGUCAGGUACAUUAGGUUAGGUUAGGUUACUUUAGGUCAAGGCAGGCUUGGUGAAUCAAAACAACUGUGAAGAUCGCCAUGAAGGGUGUGGGAACCAGCGUGGCUGCGGGCGGCUAGGCCCAUUGGCAGGCUAGGUCAGGUACAUCAGGUUAGGUUAGGUUACUUUAGGUCAAGGCAGGCUUGGUGAAUCAAAACAUCUGUGAAGAUCGCCAUGAAGUGUGUGGGAACCAGCGUGGCUGCAGGCGGCUAGGCCCAUUGACAGGCUAGGUCAGGUACAUCAGGUUAGGUUACUUUAGGUCAAGGCAGGCUUGGUGAAUCAAAACAACUGUGAAGAUCGCCAUGAAGGGUGUGGGAACCAGCGUGGCUGCAGGCGGCUAGGCCCAUUGACAGGCUAGGUCAGGUACAUCAGGUUAGGUUAGGUUACUUUAGGUCAAGGCAGGCUUGGUUUGAUUUCAUUUGGCUGUAUCUGUCAGAUCUGUUGUUGAUACAUACGUGUGGCAACCUUCACGCCCCGCCGUUGUCGUGGCUGGGCGCUGCGCAGGGACGCCACACCCCGCGGGCAAGCCACACUGCUGCCCGGGCACAUUAUUAGCACUUUAGUAAAGGAAACUAACGGCUGGGAGGUGCACCAGGAGCGCCAACUUGUACUGAAGGUCAAGGGUGUGCUGCAGGGCUCCUGUGUACACGCGGGGCUGCUGGAGCCACACCUCUCGCCCCUCGUGCCGCACCCCGCCACGACCACACUGUCACAGCCACACCCCACCCACAGCCACGCUCACGCCCCCGCCCACAGCCACGCUCACGCCCCGCCCACACCCACGCCCUCUUCAUCCAAGG